UUUUAUGUACAAUUAUUGCAUAUAGUCUUUCAAAUUUGUGAUUGACUUAGUGUUCUUUGUCUAUUGCUAUUUUUGUAUAACGUACUUUCAGAUCACUGGAACCCGAGCUGAUGUGGUGGAAGCUGUCAAAUCAGAUUAGAACGCCUUCAAGGACCACCUUCAGGCACGGACUAAGAAGGAUGUGGAGGUUUUUGACCAGUCAAGGUGGACUGAACAUCAACAAGGCGCAGGAGAAACAGAAGGAGAGCUACCGGAGCAGAAUCAAGCACAGGAGCAAGUGCUACGACAUCCAAGCGAAUUACUUGGUUUGGAAGAAGAACGAAAGGAAGGCGAGACCUGGGAAACCUCGUUGUUCUUUCACUCCUAGCUGGGGUCACCAUCUGUUAAAGUGAAUAUAAAAAAUCUCAGAUAAUAACUAUUUUCAUUUGCACACAAAAUAACCUGAAGCUUGUUUUAGUUUCCCUAACACUGAUAUUUUUCUGGCUCUAUCAUACUGGGCACGUAAUAUGUGAGAUGCAAAGAUUAACUAAAAACACUAGCACUGCAAAAAAGUGAGCAGCAGUGCCCAGACUUUGCAGCCUCCCUAUUCAAUUUCCCCUUCCAAGACUGGCUGCCUGUUGAGAAGUGACCGGCAGAACCUCCCACCCACACAGCAACCACCUCCUCUAUAUUCCACACUCCAGAAUUCAGUAUUUUAGUCUGAUUGCCAUGUGAAUGUACAAAAAAAUCUGAAAAUAAAUUCCUGACACAACUGUACCAAAAAAUAUAAACAUUUAUGUAUAAAAAUAUUAAAUAUUGCCAGGUUGGUUUUCAUUGUAAAUUGUAAGGUUUCCUUUGACAGUAUUUAUUUGUUCCACAUUAAUCAUUGUUGUAUCCUGGGACCUACUAUAUAUAUAUAUAUUCAACCACAAGGGUGUAUUAAUGAGCUACACGAGAUUGAAAAAAUAUGUAUCCUAAUAGAGUACGACUGAAAUUAUACGAUUUCAGUGUAGAUAAGGGAAGGGCAGGUGAAAAUAAAAACAUGACAGCCAGACAAGCCAGUGUAUGAAUCAAAUGGAUUUGCAUAUGAAUGGAGUGGAAAUUAUCUGACUUUUAUCUGUAAGGUUAGUAACAAGUGUGUCAAGUAGAUAACGUUUUCUUUGCCAUUUCCCGAAACAUAGCAACAUUUAAGACAUGGAUUUCAUGUUAACAAGGUACCCAAAAGUAGUUUGAAGUAAUGUUUUCAUUUUAUUAGCGUAACAAAACAGCGAAAUUGUCACGGAAAUCAGCCUUGUUUGCAUAGCGAUGAUGAAAACAACAUAAUUUAGGCUGUAAUGAUCUCCAAAAUUCUAAUCAUUAGGUCAUCACACCGUUGAUAUAACAACGGACGGUAACACAGUAGUUUAUUGAAUCCCAUUGUGACGCAGAGGGGUACACUUUUUGGCCUGGGAACAUUAUUUGGCAUGGCAGGCCCCUUAUACAUAGCCGAUACAUUUUUCCAUUGACUUUAUCCAAGUUGUCCCUCAGGCCACAGCCAGGCCAGAAAUACCACUGUAUCCAAUCUGUACUCUUAUCAGUUGCAAAAAUGUGUCUCUAGAAAGAAUGGGCUCACUUACCCUGCCCCAAGGAUGUUGCUCUGAUUUCAAUUUUAGCAAAGUGACUGCUACAUCUACAGAACAAAAACACCAAUCUAAAAAAUAUCAACAUCUGACUGUUCUUGUUCUCAUUAUAUCAUUCAAGUUAAUCAUAACCACAUGAUUGCAGUGUUUAUUUACUCUCAAAGUGGCAUGUUUUUGAAGGUUGUGAGUGUUGCUCAGAGAUGUGCCCAUUAAUUAACCUAAUACAAUCUGUUUCCUUGUGACAAAGGUUAUCCAUUUGAGUUUGGGACAUGCCAGAGAGACCCUUAGAGAGCAUAGCUUUGUUUUUGUUUUCUUCUUCUGUUAUCCAAUGUUAAUUUCUCCUAGUGAUAGACUCCAGAACCCUCUGCUCCUGGUUACCACGCUGCUUGGUCCGGUUGUAGUGGGUAGUUCUGUAACGACCGUUGGUGGAAGAAGGUCAGGACCAAGAUGCAGCGUGGGAAGUGUUCAUCAUUAUUUUAAUAAACUGAACACUAAAUACAACACGGAACAAAAGAAACAACCAAAACAGCUCCGUCAGGUGCAAAACACACUAAACAGAAAAUAACUACCAACAAACACCAGGUGGGAAUAGGCUACCUAAGUAUGGUUCUCAAUCUGAUUGGGAACCAUACCAGGCCAAACACAUAGAAAUUUAUCUAUGUGAUCUUGAUCUAUGGUCAGGACGUGACAAAGACAUGUAUUGUCGAGCACAUCGCUUUACAUGGUAUGCAAGUGAGGAAUGUGAUCAGCUGCAAACACUAAUCAUUCAACCUAUAGAAUGUUGUUUUAUAUAUAUAUAGUUUACUUAUAGUUUUUUUGUAGAUUUACUUUACAAUGAAAGAAUCCAAUCUUCAAAUAAAAUGUAUUUAUAAAGCCCUUCGUACAUCAGCUGAUAUCUCAAAGUGCUGUACAGAAACCCAGCCUAAAACCCCAAACAGCAAGCAAUGCAGGUGUAGAAGCACGGUGGCUAGGAAAUACCCUAGAAAGGCCAAUACCUAGGAAGAAACCUAGAUUACUCUGAAAAAUGAGGGAGAUACAGCACUUUCAAUGAGUGGACAGUGGAAAUUUCCAGGCAUGAUUCCAGCGCGUGAUCGGGAGUGCGCCUUUCUUGUUUCUCCUUUUCUUUUGACAAUGCUUUUGUCCGGUUUAAAUAUUAUUGAUUCUUGAUUAUUGAAAAACAACCUGAGGAUUGAUUUUAAACAUUGUUUGAUAUGCUUCUACGAACUUUUAUUGUAUUUGUUUUACUUUUCGUCUGGAUAUUGGGAAUGCGUUUUGUGCCUUUGGAUUUCUGAACUAAACGCACCAACAAAACAGAGGUUUUUGGACAAUAAAGAGGGACAUUAUCGAACAAAACAAACAUUUAUUGUGUAACAUGGAGUCCUGGGAGUGCCACCAGAUGAAGAUCAUCAAAGGUAAGUGAUUCAUUUUAACCUUUUGUGACUUAUUUUCAUUUUUGGAAAAAUAACGUUCCCGUAGUAAACGGGAUAUUUUGUCAGGACAAGAUGCUAGAAUAUGCAUAUAAUUGACAGAUUAGGAUAGAAAACACUCUAAAGUUUCGAAAACUGUAAAAAUAUUGUCUGUGAGUAUAACAGAUCUGAUAUUGCAGGCGACAACCUGAGAAAAAUCCAAUCCGGAAGUGCCUCAUGUUUUGAAACCACUGCGUUCCAAUACGUCCCUAUUGAGCAGUGAAUAGGCUAUCAACCAGAUUACUUUUUCUCCGUAUUCCCCAAGGUGUCUACAGCAUUGUGACAUAGUUUUACGCAUUUUGUUGAAGAAUACCCGUAAGCGGCUACAUUGUGCAAGUGGUCACCUGAUGCUCUCAGAGUGAUUCUCGCGUAAAAUACAGAGGUAGCCAUUAUACCAAUCGGGAAAGAAAGAGAGGGUCCAGAUUGUCUAGCCCAGUUGAUUUGUAGGGAUCCAGAUUUUGUAGCUCUUUCAGAACAUCAGCUGUCUGAAUUUGGGUGAAGGAGCAGGGGGGGCUUGGGCAAGUUGCUGCAGGGGAAUCAGAGCUGUUGGCUGGGGUAUGGGUCGCUAGAUGGAAAGCAUGUCCAGCCGUAGAAAAAUGCUUUUUGAAAUGAUCGAUUAUCGUAGAUUUACUGUUGGUGACAGUGUUUCCUAGCCUCAGUGCAUUGGGCAGCUGGGAGGAGGUGCUCCUUCUCUCCAUGGACUUUACAGUGUCCCAAACCUUUAUUGGAAUUAGUGCUACAUAUUUAAGAUAGUGAGGAAAGCACUUUUAAAGAGCAACCAGGCAUCCUCUACUGACAGGAUGAGGUCAAUAUCCUUCCAGGAUAUUAAGAAUGAUAUGGUGACCAAAGAUUA
rnacentral:lncRNA from 13 species